AUACGGAGGACGCGAGCGUUAUCCGGAUUCAUUGGGUUUAAAGGGUGCGUAGGCGGAUGAUUAAGCGUGAGGUGAAAUGCCACUGCUCAACAGUGGAACUGCCUCGCGAACUGGUUGUCUUGGAUGCUCCUGCCGUGGGAGGACUGUGUGGUGUAGCGGUGAAAUGCAUAGAGAUCACACAGAACACCGAUUGCGAAGGCAUCUCACGAAGGGGUGAUUGACGCUGAGGCACGAAAGCGUGGGGAUCAAACAGGAUUAGAUACCCUGGUAGUCCACGCAGUAAACGAUGAUAACUAACCGCUGGGUCGUAGUGAUUCAGUGGCCAAGCGAAAGCGAUAAGUUAUCCACCUGGGGAGUACGACCGCAAGGUUGAAACUCAAAGGAAUUGACGGGG
rnacentral:rRNA from 1 species